GCACUAUAUUAUUCUGGGAUUUUGCACUGUUUCAAGAUGUUAAGUGGAGCAGAGCAGGUGGACCCAAACGCAGGAGACUGCAGGGAACAGGAACUUGAAGAAUAAAUCUUUAUUCGAGACACAGGAACAGGAUACAGAGGUGUGAGCAGGCAAAACAGAACAGAACAAAUGAUCCAACAAGACUGAACUGAAACAUGGGAAUAAAAUACUAAGUGAACUAAUGAGGAGAUGAGGUGCAGGUGGGGAGAUGGGCGGAGAAGCUCAGAUGAGGGGAAUGAGGUGAAGAAACAGGAGGACAGGAAAGGAGCUGAAUGGCUAGGGAAAACACUGGGAACCGAGCAGGGCUAACGAGGCUGAUGCAGGGUGGGUGUGUAGAGAGGCAAAGGAGGGAGAGUCAAUACAUGAACAGAAAAGGAAAAAACACAGAACAGAAAACCCAAAAACCCAGAAAACACAACCCUCUUAAUAAUAAACCAACAUACACAAAACUGUCUAAGAAUAUACAUUAAGAUAAACUUAAGCACACUAUGUAACACUAUAACCUGCAACCUCUCUGUAUCUGUAGCAAACCAAAAACCCAGAAAACACAAUCCUGUGUCAGUGAGACUGCGUACCUGCUGUAUGAGUUCAGACCAGAGUGAAAACAAAGACAGACUAACUAAUAUAAGCAACUUAAAUAAUUGUCAUGCCACAUAGACUCCUUUAAAAGUCCAACUCAAACAAGCCUUUGCCCACACAGUCCAGUCAAAACAAACAGGGAAAAAAGUCUGAGGGCCUCUGGAGGACUGGUGGAGAAUUGCAGCUAGGGACACAUAGCUAGAUUGUGACACAAGAAUCUUACAUCCACGAUGCUUUUGAAAACUUACUAGUCUAAAAUGUUACUUAUCUCGAUGAAAUCUUUUAUCACGAAAUCUUUGUAAUCUGUGAAAAUAUAUCAGACUUUACUGUUGCCAUUGUGAUCCAUACUAUUUAUUCAAAAGUGUUGUUCUUACAACUGUGCAUGACUCUAUCUUAUACAGUAAUGGCCUCAUUGUAAAAAAAACAAAAAAAACAUACACUGUGUUUAAUAAUGAGAAAUGCAUGGACAUGCAUGACAACAAAUUAAUUAUUUAUCACCGUCUGAUAUUGUUGGAAAGAAAUUUACUGUGCAAUAAAUGUUCACUCAAAAUAUUGCUUGCACUUGGUCAUUAUGUGUAUCUGACAGUCAGUACUGUACAUUGGUAACCUUUCUGAUGAAUCUUCACUGUUAUAAUAAAUAUGCACUGGUUAAAUUUGUGCCACCAUUUGUCUGGUCUUUUCUGCGUCAAGUGUAGCUACAACAGCAUUCCUUACAUACCUAAAGUCUGAAGGCAUAACCAUUAUCUAUCUGUACUCGAGGAAGUCAUAACAGGAAGAAAAAAAAUAUUUAAGGAACUUGUGUAACAUGAUAUUCUGUGGAGAUAACGUAGUUGUUUUUUCUGGCAGACAACAGUAUCACUCCUGUCAGUGUACUGCUGGAUGUGUGUGUAUGUGUGUGUUUGUGAAUGUCUGCAGUGCUGAUCUGCAUGUAUAAAUAAGCCUUUACAACACUCAGCAGCCACGCAGUAAUGGAUUGCUUUACACUGUACGUCGUUCUCCUGUUGGGUUUGCUGCCUCCAUAUGAUGCUCAAACAGUGACUCCUGGACCAACAGCUCAAACAGCGACUCCUGGACCAACAGGCUGUGCAGGUCCACCACUGCUGUGCUGCGCUAGUCAAGACAAUAGCUGUCGGAGGGGGGGGUGUUUCUGUGACCAGAUUUGCAUCACAUUAAAGGACUGCUGUCCUGACUACACGUCAGCCUGCGCACAAUCUCUGAACACUACUCUGCCGAGCAGUACCAGCACAACAAAUAGCAGUACUGCAUCUACACCACUGAAUAUAAGCACAACCCCAAAUAUCAUAACAACUUUGUCAUCCACAGUCUUUUCAACAACAGAACCAGGUACAACAAGCAGCAGUACCACAUCUGCUGGGUCUGCUACUACACCACCCAGCACAACAAGGAGUAGUGCAUCUACACCAGUAGAUGUCAGCACAACAUCAUCUACUAUCUCUACACCCAGCAUAACAAACAGAAGUACAAUUUCAUCAUCCACAGUCCCCUCAACAACAUCACCCAGUACAACAAACAGCAGUACUUCCUAUACAACUGCAGAUAUCAACAACACUUCGUCCGCAGUGUCUGUGACAGCAACACCCAGCACGAGCAGUAACACAUCUACACUGGCAGAUAUCAGCACAACUUCAGCAUCCCCAGUCUCUGCUACCACACCACCCAGCACAACAAGCAGCAGUGCAUCUACACCAGUGGAUGUCAUCACAACAUCAUCUACUAUCUCAACAAGCAGCAGUUCCACCUCCACAUCCUACCUCACAACUUCAGCAUCCACUGGCUCCACUGCUACAGGUCGGUAAUUAUGAUUGUCUAGUUAUUUCAAAAAUUUACAUCUGCUGUCAUGAAUAAAUUACAUUUAUUGCUAAAAAUGUGUUGCCAAUGUUUGUUGAAACUAUGAAACAAAAUUGUUAAUUUUGUAUUGUUUGCAUCUAUGUCCGAGUUAACAGUGGUCAUCAGUUAGUGGUUCAGCAGAUAUGUGUGACUCAACUGUCAUCUUAUUGCCACACCUCCUUUGGCAUGCUCCAAAACACCUCAGGCUUUUGACAGUUUCCUUGUACUUGUAUAAGGGACAAUAAUGGCAGAAAUCAGUACAAGUCUGGAUACCACUAGUGUCACAUCUGGAGUUUCCAAUAAAACACAGAUUCUAGCACCAUCCACCAUUGUCACCAUCCAGUUCUGACAAAGGCACAGUCAGCUACAUGGACAUCUUCAGUGAUGUAUUUUACCAUGCAAGCUGUUAAGUACAUUUCUAUUUGCACCUUUCUUUCUUUAGAUGGUCAAAUAGUGACUGUUCACCUAAAAGCUUCUGUUUUAUCCCAUAAUGAGGAAAAUGAAGAUGAGAUUUUAAAGGCUUUAUCUAGUUUUCUAUCCCAAGACCUUCUCCCACAGAACUGUGAGGGCUGUACCUUGACCAUCAGACACAACAAACCCACCUGAGAAAGGACUUAUGUUUCAGCUAAUGGAAGCAUCAAUAUUACUCCUGCUAUACUGUGAUAAUAGACUGUCAGAAAAAUGGUUUAAUAAUGUGGGCCAUGGCAGUUCUGGGUCCGUGUAUGAAGUGCAAUUAAUUUUUCAUGUGUAAAAAGCUUCUACUUGCGGAGCAGCAGAACCUGUCACCUGAUGCUUUGCUUACUUACACUUGGACAAUGAAAUUAGACGGUUAAACCCCAACCCCAUCGUCUCAGCACUGUGCAACUUUAUAACCUUGGCACAGAAACAAAUUUAUGCCAACAGAGCAAGGCUAACGUUAGUAAUGUAGCUAUGGUAAAAGAAAAAAUGUUGAUGUGUAGUUUUUCUUCGUAACUCUUUCUAAUGUAGCAUGUACAGCUCUUCUGGAGUAGAUAAUGUGUGGAAGAUGUUCUUCAAGGAGUUUUGCUUGUGUUUUUCCAGGUCUUGCUUGCACCACCACACAACUGCUUCCAUAUGGGAUCAUUAAUAUUGCUGCAUAACGUACACAGCAUUUUAAUGUAGCUGCUCAAAUCAGGGCUAAUUUUAUGUACUGUUGGGUAGUUUUAUCUAUAAAAAUGCAUCAUGUUUAGAAACUUAAUUUAACAUCCAUGGUCACAAAAUCUGUUUAAUGAAUGUGUGGAAAGUAUUUCAAACAAUAACUGGACUACAGAGAGGGUUUUAAUCCUGAUGCAGUAUAGCCUAAAGACAUAUUUUCUGUAACAAAGCUUUUUGCCUGCUCUGUGAUAUAACUGCUGAUCUCUUAAUAAAUCUUCUAAAAUUGAACUUGAUGCUACAUCUCUGCCUCAUUACAAACUGCGUAGUGAACCUGUUGUGUACUAAUUAAAGGUGUUUAAAAGUGGGAGUUUGGAGACCCACGUAAAGGUGAACCCUCAGUGUCUUUCCCUUCAAUGUAAGCAGCAUAAACAGUGUCACAUUUAAAUUUAGGAAAUAAAUGUGAGUUUGUCUUCAUUGCUUCUGUGCAAAAAUAUCUU